AAAACCGUGUAGAGAGAACCUUACAUUGAUCUGCUUGAUGGCUUCAUCCAGUCCUUUGGUGAGUUCUUACCACAGCAGAGAUUGGACAGGAGGAAGUGAUUUCAACCUGCUGUGACUUGGGACCUUCUGAAAUGGCAAGAAGCAGGGUGUUCUGACCUGCAUGUCUUUUUAUAAAUCAUGUGGUAUUCUGGGGAAACAAGAAACUAUAUUAAUGAGCAUCAACUCCUUAAUUAUCCUCGUGACUACAUAACAGGGACACAUUCAUGUCAUUUCUUUGUGCAAUAACUUUUGCAAAGAAGUAUUUUUAAACUGAUCAUUAAUUUUAUGACCACAGAAAUGAGAUGCAAAAUUUAUGCUGUUGUCAUUGGCACAGGUUCAAGGCACUACUGACAUUAUGUGUGAUUGUAAUGGAAUGGCUGCCAACUAAUGAGUCUAUAGACAUUUUGUUUGAGCAUGCUUUGCUUUUAGAUGUCUGAUUAGGCAGUAAUGCUUUCAAUUAUGCCUGCAAAUUGUAUUGGAUACAUUUACCUGAUGCCCAUUGUUGCUUUGUAGUUCGGUUUUCUAUUACAUAAAUGCAAGUUGAAUGCUUUUCUUUAAUUUAUUGAUGCUUUUUGGGUGUAUUUUUAGGUACUUGGCACCUGAAGAGAGGAGUAGUGGCUUGUGCUGCUCAACACUGACUCCUCUGACUGUUCAAGGAGUAACACACGUAGUUUCGAAUGCAGUUCUAUCUAGGCUUCCUCAGUAGGUGGAAUAUAAACUGCAGUGCAACACCUUGAUGGAGGACCAUGUAAAGUGGAGAAAGGGCAGAGAUUAUUCUGAGUGGGAAUGCAGGAGACCUCACAGAAUCAACCGGAAGCCUCUCUAUGAACUGUCAGGAGCAAUAUCCUUAUAUAUUAAUAGCAUGCGCUCCUGAGGUGUCUUUCAACCCUGCCAGAAUUAGGAGGCAAAACCCCAAGGUUGAUACUAGCACGUAGUCAUUUUUUUAUGUAAGCACAUAAAAACGCUGUGAAAUGUUGCCUGUUAAAGCUCCAGAGGACAUUGAGUCAGCUGUCCUAUCAAAAUGCUUGCAGUUCUUCUGUACAAAUUAGAUGAUUUAAGGAUUGCAUUUCAGUGUAUAAUAUAAAUUUACAAAUACAUUUAUUUACUCUAAAAUAAAAAAAUGGAAGAUUUUUAGUUUAAUCUAGUCCUGCAGGGCUACAGGUUGCUUGUACCUCUAUUUAGUGUCUGUGACCUAUUCUCCACAUUUUUCACAGAAAAGUGUGGGUACCUAAAUGUAGUAUUGUGUGACAUAGGAUUUAUAUAUUUGUUCUGAUUUGUCUGUCUUAGUGAGGCUUUUUUUCAUAGAGGUCUUCAAGCCUUUAUUUAGGAUUUAACAUCUAGAGAAUGCUUUGAAGACUAUAAACUCUCUAAAACCACUGAGUAUGUAAUUUCUUUCUUCAUAAUACCUCAACAUUUUUUUUUUUUGGUUGUUUUGUUUUAAGAGCAUUUUGAAUUUGGAUGUUGUAGACUUAGAACAGAUACUUGUUUUAUUGUAAAUCUACAUUCAGUGUGCCAAUGUUUUUUUGUUGUUUCAAAUACAGUAUAUACCUGGGAUAGGUACGUGGUGUGCCCUAAAUAUGUAUGUAUGUAUUAAAAAGCCCCUUGUUUCUAGAUCAUCUGGCUUUUAUAUGAAUGCAAAGCACAAAGGUUCACUGAAUUUGAAAUCCUAAGCAUAAUUAGAAAAUAGUAGUAUUGUGACUUAAGGGAAGAGCAAGGUAACAGUGCAUCUAUGCAAACUUACGUAAGAAAUCGCAACUUCUCUGAAAGAGAUUAUGUAUUGUUGAGUGGGGCAAAAUUCUCUGAAGAUGUUCUUUCUACGUAUGUACUUGCCUAUUUGUCAUCCACAAGUGCUACUUAUUUAGAUAUACUUAGGCUUACUCUUACUAUUCAGCCCAUGAAUUUUGAGUGCUGUGCUGUGGUGUUUGUGGAAAUGUUUUCCUCUAGAAAUACAGCCUAGUAUUUUAAAUUUACGCUGGCACCUUCAUGAAGGUUAAAUGAUAGUACGUUUAUGCAUAGCUGAUAUGAGGACAUUUUUGACGGACAACCAGGGCUUAUACAUACACUUGCUCUCUCUACAGACACACAUACACGCGCACACACAUAUAUAUGUAUGUGUAUACAUAUAUUCUAUGCAUUCUAGUACUAGUAAAAGUUUAGGAUGGGAACUUUGGAUACUGUAUAGGUUGUGAAUAUCAUGUCUGCUCUUUUUAUAUGGAGUCAAUUCUCUAAUAAAGAUAUAUAUAUAGGCAGAUGGGCAA